AGCCGUGCGAUAAGCACAUAGCGAACUAUUCUUUCGCCUUUUACUAAAGAAUACCGUGUGCUUGUCGUACCAAGCGGCAUACGCCUAUUUUUGGAGGGGUUGUCUCAUAUGAGAUCA
rfam:Brassica napus, WGS project CCCW01000000 data, contig: 439